rnacentral:rRNA from 1 species
AGAGUUUGAUCCUGGCUCAGAAUGAACGCUGGCGGCGUGCUUUACACAUGCAAGUCGAACGAGAAAGUCCUUCGGGACAAGUAGAGUGGCGAACGGGUGCGUAACGCGUAAGAAUCUACCCAUUAGUGAAGAAUACCUCCGAGAAAUCGGGGUUAAUACUGCAUACGUCCCUUCGGGGAGAAAGGUGGCCUCUUGCUACCGCUGAUGGAUGAGCUUGCGUGCUAUUAGCUUGUUGGUGAGGUAAAGGCUCACCAAGGCUCAGAUGGCUAGCCGACCUGAGAGGGUGGUCGGCCACAUUGGGACUGAGAUACGGCCCAGACUCCUACGGGAGGCAGCAGUGGGGAAUAUUGCACAAUGGGCGAAAGCCUGAUGCAGCGACGCCGCGUGAGUGAAGAAGGCCUUAGGGUUGUAAAACUCUUUCGCCAGGGAAGAUAAUGACGGUACCUGUAAAGAAGCCCCGCCAACU